AUUGAACGCUGGCGGCAGGCCUAACACAUGCAAGUCGAGCGGAUGAAGGGAGCUUGCUCCUGGAUUCAGCGGCGGACGGGUGAGUAAUGCCUAGGAAUCUGCCUGGUAGUGGGGGAUAACGUCCGGAAACGGGCGCUAAUACCGCAUACGUCCUGAGGGAGAAAGUGGGGGAUCUUCGGACCUCACGCUAUCAGAUGAGCCUAGGUCGGAUUAGCUAGUUGGUGGGGUAAAGGCCUACCAAGGCGACGAUCCGUAACUGGUCUGAGAGGAUGAUCAGUCACACUGGAACUGAGACUCGGUCCAGACUCCUACGGGAGGCAGCAGUGGGGAAUAUUGGACAAUGGGCGAAAGCCUGAUCCAGCCAUGCCGCGUGUGUGAAGAAGGUCUUCGGAUUGUAAAUCACUUUAAGUUGGGAGGAAGGGCAGUAAGUUAAUACCUUGCUGUUUUGACGUUACCAACAGAAUAAGCACCGGCUAACUUCGUG
rnacentral:rRNA from 1 species